UUAAAACAUAGUUUUAUUUUCGUAUCCAACUUUAAUCGUCCGUCUUAUUUGAAAUGGUUUUAUGAUUAGUAUUUUUAUUAUUAUUAGAUAAUAAAACAAGAAUAGUACUUAUGUUUUUAUUUCUUUCAAUUUUUUUAAAUAAAACGAACUGUUAAAAUUAAACACGAAAACUCAUGGUUGCUCUUAAA
rfam:Oryza glumipatula chromosome 12, whole genome shotgun sequence.